rnacentral:lncRNA from 1 species
AUGCUUACCAUUAAGAGUGCCUUCUUUGCCAUUGCUGCUCUCUCUCUGUCCAGCCAUAUCUCUCCAAUUCUCUUUUCUACUAUGGCGAGAGACCCAGGGCGUAAACCAGCAAGUCCACUGCAGAAAUCAGUGGUAAGCAAACCUUAGUCUUCAUCAGAAUCACCUGGAGUGCUUGUUAGACCAGAUGGCGGGACCCCGCCUCAAGACUUUCUGAUUUAAUAGGCCUGGAGGGGGGCCGAGUAAUUUACAUGUCUAACAAGUUCUCAGGUCAUGAUGAUGAUGAUGAUGAUGAUGAUGAUGAUGCUGGUCCAAGGAGUGCACUUAAAGAAUCACUGGCAUAAGGAAAAAUCUAACAAGGUAAUUAGAUGCCUGUCUUCUUCAUUGCAUACACCUCCAAUCUCUAUGAGUAAAUUUCUUGGAGCCCCUUCACGUAUCUUUUGAGUUGUUUGAAGAUUCUUUGUCCUCAGCUUUGGAUCUUAGUCACCAGUCUGGGAUUCCAGGAAAUGUCCUGCUCCACAACCUAUUAUGAAUAAAUGCAUGGGGGAGGCAGGGCCUUACUGAGAGCUAUCUUGAACGCAGUCUACAAUGAAUUACCCUGAAGAACCAAAUGAUGUCUCUUAGGAUGAAGGAAUCGAUGAUCAGAAAAAUUUAGUAAUGUGUCUAAGGUUACACAGAAAACAGGAGAGAGUCAAUCACCACAUUUUGAACAAAAAAGUGAUGUUACAAAAAAUUUCUUCAGGAAAGGUGAUCUGACAAUUGUCUACAGACUGAGGAGCUGAAAGGUUUGAGGCAAAGGACCAGUUGAAAGAAUAUCAUGAUAGUUAACAACUCACGAGAGUCCAUAGUGGGAAAAUGAAGAAAUUGGAGAAGGAUAAUGAUCCUGAGGCUGGAAGAUAAAUAAAAAUGUAAAGCAUAAAAUUUUCCUUGAUGGAAAGUAUAUCCUGAUUCCAAAGGAAGAUGGUGAUUUCAGCAGCGGGUUUAACUUCCCACUUCUGUCCACUCAUCACCCUCAUUUUCUGUUUGUAUCUAAAAAAUUUGAUGAAACUUAUUAAUUCACUUAAACAUUUACUAAGCUCUUACUAUAGGCCAAACGUUGUGCUCGGUGAAAGGAGUAUUAAAAUGGGAAAACAUGUCAGAGCCUAAAACUGGCAAUGCACACUUCACAAGCAAUUUCUGCUAAGGGGCUUGCAGAUAUCCCUUGACUGAAGAAGAACCAAAAAUCGAACUUUCCUCCUCAGAAUGUGGUGUGUGUCACAGAAAGUAGGUAAAAAAGGUACUGACAGAGUCUACUACUACUACCUAAUUUAGAGAGUUGAAGGUUGGGGUCAGGCUUGGCCAUGAGACAGAAGAUAGGCAGCUCCCUUGGGUAUGUCACUGCUUCUUCAGAUCAUCAGUAUCUGGAAGGAGCAAUAUGUAUCACCCUAAAUAAAACUCCAGCUAUCAGGCUU